UACGGGUCACGUGACCCGCUCUUUGCAGGCCUUAACGGGAGCACGAAGGGCUUUAUUAGCAGUCGGCAUAGCUAAUUUAAUUAUAGUCAUUUUAUUAUCUCUGCGUCAAGCAACUAAUUUAUGACAAAAUCGACCACCUUCACGUCAAAUGAAAAUUACUUAGUAUUAGGUGUACCAGACUUGGAUCCUCUUGUAAGAUUGUCUCAACACACGCAAAGCCCAUUACACAGAUGAUUACUCAGUCUAGCGGGGUGGACGUUAUGGCCGAUGAGAUAACAUUGAAGCUGCCGUUCCAGCAAUCCAUAGUCAUUUCCGAAGAGCUGGACCGCCCACCUCUUGAUGUAAUAAGCGCAGUGGCACCCCCUGGCGGUGCACAGCGAUACUGCACUGAACAAACCGAGGAGUCCUCCGUCCCCAUUCACCCUGAGAGCUCAGUGAUGGAUGAGAAGCUUCGAUCGAUUGAGCAGCAACUUCAGUACCUUCUAAACAAGGCCGAUAAAUUACAGGCUCACCUGAGAAACGGAUGUGACCGUUUGCAGAAGGAGAGCCUUGCCCAGGCUGUUCCCAUAUUCUUACGCACAUGCCAGCCCUGGUUCGCCUACCUGGAGUCCGCAGCUCGCAGUUGCCUUCCACAACGUGCACCUCUUCCGCCCUACAUUCGCACCCAGCUGUUGCAGUUCUCUCAGCAGCUGUGCACUCGACUCGAGCAGCUCGUGUUGAUGUACGCCUCUGUGAAUUUCCUGUCUGUGGAGGAGACUGAGCCAUCCAGUGUAUCCCAUUUCUACGUCGGCCAGUGUCAGCUGAACACAGUCACGGUGUCCAUAUUCCGUUACUGCCGCCCUGCUCUCUUCCGGGUUAGGCCCAGGGCAGGGGGCAACCUCUAUAAACGCAUGCGCUGGAAUGUGGAGAGGCCAAGAGAGUGGCCUAAAGAGGCAGAGGGCCAGCAGGGCGAAUAUACAGGGAUAGGGAAAGGGGACAGUGAGGACACUGAAUUUUAUUUUCUGUGCUAUGAGGACGUAGCUCCGAUGCAGCCUGAGAUGCACAGCAAGAGGGGGGAUGGGAAAGAGAUGGAGCCAGAGGCUGGCCAUUCUGUUGGAAGGUGGUCUAUCGGGCAGUGGGUGCAAACGGACCCCGAUCCCGUGAAUGCAGACCUUUUUGACUGGCUACUCUGUCCAACACCUCAGGGACGAUACAAACUGCUACUCCACCUGGGCACAGAGGAGCCUUCAACCUGCACUGCCACAGACUACCUCUUGGGGGCGCUAUUUUCCAUGGAGGGUCCAGGAGAGUGUUCCGCAGCCUUGGGCCACACAGCCCACGCCUGAGCCACAUCUCAAAGAUACGUUUCACCCGGACAGGAUUGUCAUUCCUGGUCAUUGGUGAGGCAUUUGGUUGCAGUCCAUGUUUUUUCAGAUGGUGCAGAGAACAGAUGUCGGGGACUGCAGGACCGCAGACUGAGUAUUGUGCUGCUGCUGCACCAGCUCCUGCUGCCACUGUAGGAUCUGCUGCCGGUGCUUGAGCUCCUGCUGCUGGUGUUGGAACUGGAGCUGAAGGAGGUCCUGACGCUGCUUCUCCAGCUUCCUCCGCUGCUCCCGCCACAGCUUUUCCUCAUCUUCCUCCUCAUUCUCCUCCUCCUCCAGCUCCCUGAGCUCAGCCUCAAGCUCCAGCUGCUUGCGCCUGUCACGGUUUUGCUGCUCCUGCCGCUCCUGGAUUUGCUGCAGAUGCUUCUGGUGCUGCUCCAGUCUGCGCAGCUGCAGAUUGGGCUGUGCCUGCGGUGUUCUGGACUGUAGGUCGGUGGGCUGCUGGGCCGGGCUCAGGUGAGCUGACGGAGGCUGACUGUAGGUUUUCCAUGCUACAGAGCCCACGUGAUUGGCCUGUGAUUGGGUUGGCGGUGGCUGCUGAUUGGACUGGAGCUCACAGCCUCCUGUGAGAGAGGCAACAUCACUUGAGACUCGUUAAAGAUACAAUGAGAGAUGACUGGGUGGAGCUAUGGGUGGCAUGGAAGAAAAAAUAAAUAUCAAGAAAAGGGAAUAUGAGUUGGGACAAGACGUAGCUGUAAAGCAAUUGCAUGAGGUGAAUAUAGAUACUAAUUGGCACCAUAGCCAAUUGGGGUAAAAAUCUAUGGCCAAUUUGAGCUAAAUACAACAUAAAAUCA